UACGUAGGUGACAAGCGUUGUCCGGAUUUACUGGGCGUAAAGAGCGCGCAGGCGGUCGUUCAAGUCGAGUGUGAAAGCCCCCGGCUCAACUGGGGAGGGUCAUUCGAUACUGAUCGACUCGAAGGCAGGAGAGGGUAGUGGAAUUCCCGGUGUAGUGGUGAAAUGCGUAGAUAUCAGGAGGAACACCGGUGGCGAAGGCGGAUCUCUGGGCCGAUACUGACGCUGAGGAGCGAAAGCGUGGGGAGCGAACAGG
rnacentral:rRNA from 1 species